AAGGAGGGCAAAAAGUCACUUAAGUAUACCUAAAUAUACCCUACCUGACCCUGAGCCUAUGUUACAAGCUAAGAAAGUCAUAUCGUGGUCCUAAGAGCUGUAUGGCGAACUUAAAGCAGUGAAAAUAAGGGCAAGCUUAUCGCAAUAUGUAUGAAUGAGUGUAAAAUUUGUUCUGAGAGUGAUUUUUUAAAAGUAAUCCUUAUACUCAAACUGAAAUCAUUGUGUGAAAAAUGAGGAUGUUGUUUUGAAGUGAGGACACUAGUUGCAAUACCG
rnacentral:misc_RNA from 1 species